CAGGCGCGAAAACUUUACAAUGCAGGAAACUGUGAUAAGGGAACCCCGAGUGCCCGUAUACGCGGGCUGUCCAGGUGUUUAAAACGCAUCUGAAGAAAGGGCCGGGCAAGACCGGUGCCAGCCGCCGCGGUAAUACCGGCGGCUCGAGUGGUGGCCACUAUUAUUGGGCUUAAAGCGUCCGUAGCUGGACCCUUAAGUCUCUUGGGAAAUCCGCCGGCUCAACCGACGGGCGUCUAAGAGAUACUGUGGGUCUAGGGACCGGGAGAGGUGAGAGGUACUCCGAGGGUAGGAGUGAAAUCCUGUAAUCCCCGGGGGACCACCGAUGGCGAAGGCAUCUCACCAGAACGGCUCCGACAGUGAGGGACGAAAGCUGGGGGAGCGAACCGGAUUAGAUACCCGGGUAGUCCCAGCCGUAAACUAUGCGCGUUAGGUGUACUGGUGACCACGAGUCACUGGGGUGCCGAAGGGAAACCGUGAAACGUGCCGCCUGGGAAGUACGG
rnacentral:rRNA from 1 species